AAGGGUUUCACUGCAGAGACAUCUGGAGAAUUCACCAGGACUUUCUCUUUGCUUUGCUUUUCACCUUGUGAAUGGUGCUGUGCAUCCAGGUGGAUGCUGGUAGCAGUGUUAGCGCUAAACUGAGCCCGGGUGUAAAGGCACAAGGCGGGGGGCAGUCGCAGGGCUGCGGAGCUUUCAGACCGAGCUCAAAUCUGUGUCCUGUCGGACUGAGCUCUGUGUCCUGGCUGGGACUUGUGCUCAUGGGCAGGCUGCUUUGCUCUGGGCUGGGUGCUGAUCCGCUUGUGCACAGUGAUGCUACGGAGGUGGCUAAAGGCCAAGUGCUGUCAUUGGAAGCCAGCUGUGAAUUAAUGUGCAGCGUGUGAUUAAUGUGCUUUUUAAACGCGUUCAUGUCCUGUCACACUGGCUGUGGCUCUUGUGUCACACUCAGUGUUCUCAGAACACUUAUUAGCCUUACAGAUCCCCUGAUUAUUGCUUUCUCUUUUAUAAUUAAGCCAUGAAACUCAGCAUGGUGCAGCUUAUGCAGUAUUAAUUCAUGCCUAGCAUAUUCUGCCUGUGCCCUAGGAUAAGGCUAAACACUGGCAGCUGGGUUGCUCUCUGCACAGUUGCUAUUCUGAAAUUUUUUAAUAUGAUUAUAAAAAUAACAUUCUGUGUGCAUAUGGGCAACUUGGGGCUCACCACUGCUGCAAGCAGUAGCAAGAUGUGGCGUGACUUCCACAGAAGCUGGAUCUGGCCCCGGCAGUGCUGCGAGAUGUAUGGGGCUUGGUCCUGCCGCAGGCUCUGCCUGAUGCUCUCCAGGUCAGUGCUGUCAGCUCUGCUUUGCUGUUUGCUGCUCUCACUUCUCAGGACACAUCCAUGAAAAUGUGAGCCUCACAAGCGAGUUCUGCUUCUCUUCUUGUUGUUCUGGCCUCCGUUCUUACGAGGCUUAAACUGAAUCCAGGAUUUCUUGUGGAGCUGCAGUUUCACAUCUACUUUUUGCCGAUGUGUAUUUUCCCUCCCGGCUGGUCGCUCCUGCCCACGGUGCAGCAGUUCAGCAGCUUGUGUGGCCAUGUGGUGAGCUGAGCAGGGAAUAAAAAUGUCAUAAACCAUGUCUGUCUCCUUUAUUUCUUUUUAUUUUCCCUCUCCUGGGACUUAGCUGUAGGAGUGACUGUGCUGGAGGAGUUGGAGCUCAGUGCUACCAGAAGGGAAAUCACUGGAGUGACCCAGCAGCUGUGCCCCCAGCGGCUGCCACUCCCAGGGGAGCAGUAUGAGUGCAGAAUUCAUGCAGGCUUUGCAGGGCUGGGUGUUGUGCUGCUAUUUGUCUCUGCUGGGGGAGUCUAAACAUCCUUGCAGAUGAGCUGUGCGAAGUGGGAGGUAAGGGACUCCAGCCACUGCCCACCUUGGCCUGGGCUCUAGGUCUGCUGGAAGUCCUACCCAACUUCGGAUGUGGGGAUGAAGGUCAGUAGGUGGCUGUGUGUCAGCUGUGGAAGAGCACAUGUGUCCCUCGUCUACUUUGGACAGCAUGGAAGCAGUAGGAGCCACAGGAUGCCUUCAUGAACAGCCGGACACCACACUCUUCAUGGGCUGUGGAUGCAGCUGGAGCUGAUAAAAGCUCACUGCAACAGGUAUGGUGACUCCCUCCUGUCCUAGCCCCAGAGCAAAAGCCCACGGGUUACAAAACGCAUGCCUACUGGCUGUGUUGCACAAGGCGUUCUCUCACAUCUAGUCCUCAUUUCAGAGGGAAUCUCCCCAAAUCUUUAGUGAACCCCUGAGCUUGCCGUGCUGUUCCCGCUCUGUGGCAUGUGCUAUUUAUACACGUGCUGCUCGUGCUAUAAAUUAUUACUGAUCAAGCCAUUUAUGUAGAGACCCGAGUGCUGAUACAUUGAAUCUCAAAGCUUCUGUUUCAACAAACAGUGCCAAACCCUGGGAGCAGGAUGCAGAGCUGUAGUGCAGAAACUCUUUGAGCUCAGACGUUUCCAUGGAGAUGGAUCUUUGAUCUCAUCACAAUAAACAAAGGGUGGAGAAGAUGCUCCCAAACUAGGGAGGAAGGCCUGGCUGAUCCCUGUGUGGCAGAAGUUCCCAGCAGCAGGAAUUAGAGAGGCUGGAGGUCUCCCUGCUUCUCUCCAUGAUGAUAUGUCUGUAGUACCAGCAUGGCUAAGCCCUGCUGCAGUGUGCGAGGAGGACAUGCCUCUUGUUUGGCUGGGCUGCACCUUUGGGCUGGUUAAUUUAAUGCUGCUGAGAACUCAGACCUUUUUCUGCACUGCGAUGUGUGCUGUGUGAUUUGGAGAGCAGGGGCACAGGACUUUAAUGCUGGCAUGAAGCACACCCAGCUGUGGAGAAGCAAUCUGAGCAAUAAGGAGAAUAGCUAGAAGAAUCUACAGCUAGCUAGCUGCAUUUCUAAGUAAAAUGGAGAGAAAAAAUCACAUUUUUCUCUGGAAGAAUGCGCAAAACAGAAGUGUUUAAUAUGUUAUUGGGGAGACAGUGACCAAAGGCAACAGUCAAGUUGGCUUUAUCCGCCUGGAUGAGUCCUGAUCACACUGGCACAAGCCCACGUGUUAGAGCCAUAGGCAGGGUCAGAGCUGUUACUCCCGGCGUUGGAAAUUGAGGCUUCUGGAGCUGGAAGAGAAUUCAUUAGGAAAGGGCAUAACUUGGUCCAGCAGUCCCUGAGAAUGGCUGGCUGAAGCGGCAGUGGCCACAAGUGCCCUGGCCGGGUGUUUCACACCAAAAUGUGCUAUUCUGGCAGCUGGAGGUUAUCCCUCGUGUUUGGCUGUGUGGUUGUGCUGGCACGGAGCACACGCGUGCAUUCAGGCAUGCUGAGCUGCCUAUGCGUUUGUGCACUUCUCCUCCACUCGGCAGCUGUGUCGUGACAUAUCCUGGUCACUUCCUAUCUGUUCACAGGGGGUAGAUGGAUUGGUCCCUUUGUUUCUGCUGCCAGCACAGCCUCAGACAGUUUUUGGUUUUGGUGUGUGUUUUUUUUAAAGUCUGUAGUAGUAUGUAGGGUGAGCAAGUUGUACACAGCCUGGUUGUAAUACUCCUUUCUUUUUUUAAAAAUGUUUCUUCCUUGGUUGUAUUAAGCUGCCAGUCAUGCUAAUUAUAUUCUCUCCUCUUUUGGGAUUUACAAUACUCCACGCAGGCAAAAUGGUGUUUAGGGACCUAGUACAGCUUCCUCCCACCCCUUUCACUGGAGCAAGUGACCCCUCUGUGCCCUGCCAGAUCCCAGGCUCCUCAAUAACUCACCCAUCACUUUAAAUUGGAACUUGAAAAUUACAUAAAUAUUUGUGAGGACAUUUGUUGUUUGCAGCUCUGAAAAAGUUAUCUUUUUCAAAUGUUACAGAAACACUCAGUGCUAAAUGUAGCCCACGGGUUUGCUUUGGAAGCUGAUAGGUGUGGCAUUGUUUUUUGUGUGUGUUGUUUUUUUAUGUUGUUUUUUUUUCUUUCAAAUGACCCUCAUGGAAAAUUUUGUCACUUAUUUCCUGUUAAUCAGAAAUGGACUCUACCCAAGACAGCCACAAUUUUGUCUUGUGCACUAGUUCACUGGGGGGAAAAAAAGUAAGUUGAAAGAGCGUACAAUAUUAAAGAUGUUUUUGAACCAAAUUUGCUUCCUCUGGUUUCAGUGGGCCUCAGCUUUGUUCUCACAGGGCUCUUUGUCGGAACCCAAACCAUACAAUAAUCUGGUUAAGGUUACCAGAAAGUAAUGAAACCAGCAUUUUUUCCCUCAGCUCUAUAGACAAGAUGGAGUUGCUGUGUGGCUGCAGCGGCCUGUCCUAUGGCUGUGACAGGCCUGUGUACAUGCUGUCACUUAGCAAUGGCUGCCAUUUGUUUUCUAACCGCAGCUUUUCCUUGUUGGCACCUAGUGAGAGCUGUAAUUGUCAGACCCGUCCCGAAAGGGUGCACCUGAAGGCAACGAGCCCCAGGGCUCACCUGUGCCCCUGCCCUGGCCCAUAUCAAGGCCUGUGUACACCAGAAGUGCAGCCUGAAAGCUUAGAGAGGUGAAUGAAGACACAGAAGUGUGAAGACCAAGAGACAAGGAAAUGGAGGAAUCUGAAGGUGCAGGAUGUCAGUACAAGCACCUCAGCAAGACUCUACCAUAGCCAGAGAGGCAUAGAAAACAAAGUAAGGGAAUGCAGUGAGUUCACAAGUGUGGGAAGUACAAAAUCAGAAUUGAGCCACCUAACUGCUGGAGACAGAGACCUGGUUUUAAUGAAACAUGAAAGUCUUUAAUUCCCCUUCCAAAGAUAAGGAUCAAAUUGUUGCACAUCUGAUUUUUAGUGGAACAAGCAUCCUGUGUUUAAACAGGACUUUGGACCGCAAUUAGGAAAGCAGUAUAAACUUAACAAUGUCACCAUCACCCCAGCCUUACAAAAAGGGAAAAAGUUCCAUUAAAAGUUAAUAGGACUGGGAGUCAAGAGACCUUGGUAAUAUGCAUUGGAAUCUCCCUUCUGUAAGAAGACAUUUGUUCAAUUUGCUGAAGUUUGAGACUCCAAGGAAUUAUUCAAACUGCACAAUCCAAGAAUUCUAGUGCUGAACAGGAGGAAGACAUUUACUCAGCAACCUGCUGCCUCCUUUCCUGAAGCAUAACUGAACAUAUCUGAUAUUGCCAACAUGUAACACUAAUUUUGGAAUUAGAAUCCCUUUACUAGACAGGCUUGCUAAAUCUCCACAAACAAUUCACUCUUCUUUAAAAUUAAUUGUCUUCUCUGCAACUAACUCUCUCAGGUUCUGAGA